UUUAAGAAACCCCAGUAAAAGUUGGAUUCUAUUUUAUUUUUUAUUUUUGCUGUUUGCAUAUUUUUAAUUUAGUAUUCGGACGCUCUUCCUCUCCCUCUGAAAGUGUUCUCUUAAAGGAAGCAACAACUUUCAAGCGCGCAUCCCUACUUUCUCUUUCGAUUGAAGCUCAAGCUUUCAUCUUUGUCAUUGCAUCACUACGUGAUCUGCGUCGUUUUCAAGUUCGAUAUAAUCUCCAUGUCACUUUCGAUUUCAACGUUGUCAAGUUACAGCACUGACCAUGCUACAGCCACAACCGGAGUAUGAUGCUCGUAUAUCAAAAUAGGCUCUAGAGCUUCAAGUCAAGGUGACAACCAAAUGUUUCUCUGAUGUAGAAGUUAGGGGUGAGGUUGUGGGAAGAAUUGUUUUGGGCCUAUUUGGAGAAGAUGUUCCCAAAACAGUUGAAAAUUUUAGUGCUUUGUGCACAGGCAAGCAAUCAAGUUUUUCUACAGCAUUUUUCUUGUUGUCGUUGGAUUUCUACUUUGGAAUGGAUUGUGUAACUUUGAAUUUUAUAUAUCAAGCUGGAUAAUCUUCUAACAUGUGAGAAAUGAUAUGGUUACAAAGGAAGCUCCUUCCAUCGUAUAAACAAAGAUUUCAUGAUUCAGGGAGGAGACUUUACGGAAGGAAAUGAACUGGUGGAAUUAGUAUCUAUGGUCCUAGUUUCAAGGAUGAGAGUUUUAC